rnacentral:rRNA from 1 species
UAUCUCUGUAGAGUCUGCAUAUCAAUAAGCGGAGGAAAAGAAACUAACUAGGAUUCCCUCAGUAACGGCGAGUGAAGCGGGAAGAGCUCAAAUUUGAAAUCUUCAAGGUUCUACCUUGACGAAUUGUAGUUUAAAGAAGUGUUUUCUGUUGGUGUUUUGGUAAAAGUUCCUUGGAAUAGGACAUCAUAGAGGGUGAGAAUCCCGUAUUUGACCAUUACUUCCAGCGUUGUGAUACACUUUCAAAGAGUCGGAUUGUUUGGGAAUGCAGUCCAAAAUGGGUGGUAAAUUUCAUCUAAAGCUAAAUAUUGGCGAGAGACCGAUAGCGAACAAGUACCGUGAGGGAAAGAUGAAAAGAACUUAGAAAAGAGAGUUAAACAGUACGUGAAAUUGUCAAAAGGGAAGCGUUUGACACCAGUGUUGUUUUCUCGAAAAUCGAUUAAAAAAGGCAGGAUUUUGUGUUGUAUUGACUUUAUCAGCUUUCUGCACUCCUUUCUUGUCUUUUUUAAUGCACUUUUCGUUUAACAAGUCAACAUCAAUUUCUUUUGUUGUAAAAGGGUCAUUGGAAGGUGGCUUUCUUUUCGGAGAAAGUGUUUAUAGCCUUUGGCCUCUGCAAUCGGAGAGAUUGAGGUCUGCAGCGUAGAUCCUUCGGGGUUAGAUACAUUUGUGCUAAGUUAUAGCCUUUCAUAGACAACUCGUUGACUAUGAUCAGUCAUGUAGCUUACUCGCUUAUGCUAUUUUACCUACGCUUAGGAUGUUGACGAUCAGCUGAGCGCG